rnacentral:lncRNA from 1 species
GAAGCUCUAUAAGGCGGCCUUCGGCGGCCGGCGGGCUUGACGCGGCAGCGGGGAACUUGAUUCGGCCGCGACAGAGCUCGAUGCGCGGGCUCGACGCGGCAGCGAUUCGGCCGCGGCAGAGUCCGAUGCGGCGGUCGGCGCGCUCGACACGGCAGCGGGGAUCUCGAUUCGGCGGCCGGUGGGGCUCGACGAGGCAGCGGGGAGCUCGAUUCGGAGGCAACGAGGUUCGAUUUGUCCACCGCGGAGCUCGAUUUCGUGGCGUUGUAACUCGACUCAUCUGUGAUGUACGUCGAUUUGCCAACGGCAAAGCUCUUGACGUGGCUCGGCGACUCACGCGAGCGCACGACUGAGCAAGCGAACCUUGCCCGUGAAGGAGGCAAGGAAAUCCUUGCCUAGCCAGGCAAGCUUGCCGAGCAAAACGAGCUUCUUCACUCACUACCAAACGCCUGGCCGUGCGAGGCGAGGCGAGGCGAGCAGUCGACGAGAAUACCAAACGCGCCCUAUGUGUCCACCACCUUCUUGUUGCAAUUGUAACCCAUGGGCGACAUGGUGGCAGGCUGGGUCCCGGUUUUUUUUUCUUCUGUUCAGGUGGUAUUGCACGGCGGAGCAGCUGGCAACGGAUGUAGGUUCAGAAGAACCGUUGAGUUUCCUUUCCUCUACGGC